rnacentral:rRNA from 1 species
GAUGAACGCUAGCGGCAGGCCUAAUACAUGCAAGUCGAGGGAGAAUGUUGGAUUCGUCUGACAUGAAACCGGCGCACGGGUGCGUAACACGUAUGCAACCUACCUUUAACUGGGGCAUAGCUCAGAGAAAUCUGAAUUAAUCCCCCAUAAGACUACGACAGGGCAUCAUGAUGUAGUUAAAGCUCCGGCGGUUAAGGAUGGGCAUGCGAUACAUUAGCUAGGUGGUGAGGUAAUGGCUCACCAAGGCUACGAUGUAUAGGGGGUCUGAGAGGAUGAUCCCCCACACUGGUACUGAGACACGGACCAGGCUCCUACGGGAGGCAGCAGUAGGGAAUAUUGGUCAAUGGACGCAAGUCUGAACCAGCCAUGCCGCGUGAAGGAUGAAGGCCCUAUGGGUCGUAAACUUCUUUUAUUAGGGAAGAAAAAACGGGAUGCGUCCUGUACUGACGGUACUUAAUGAAUAAGGAUCGGCUAACUUCGUGCCAGCCGCCGCGGUAA